UGUAAAAUUAAGGGCGUACGGUGGAUGCCUUGGCAUCAAAUGGCGAUGAAGGACGCGGCGUAGCUGCGAUAAGCUUCGGGGAGGUGUUAGCAACCUUUGAUCCGGAGAUUUCCGAAUGGGGAAACCCAAUUGCGUAAACCGCAAUUACUCUUCCUUAAAAAAAGAGUGCGUAUCUGCUGAAGUGAAACAUCUCAGUAAGCAGAAGAAUAUAAAGCAAUAGCGAUCCCCCGAGUAGCGGCGAGCGAAAAGGGAUCUAGCCCAAACUUAGAGUGUAUAUGUUGGAAACUGGAUGUCAGAAGUCGAUUUAUCGGCUACUAGUUCAGAGCUUCCGGCGUGUUAUGUUUUGAGGGUUGUAAGAUAGAAACAUUUUAACUUUAAAAUUGAUUCAGCUAUAGUGGUGGAUCAAUUUUACUGUUAAAGGAAAGUUACAAAAUUGUUGGUUAGCUGAAUCCGCUGGAAAGCGGAACCAUAGGGAGUGAUAGUCUCGUAAGCGAAAACCGACAAUCUUUCUGUUUUUACCGGUAUAAAAUCCGGAGGUGGCCGUAAAUGGUUAUCUAUCUUGAGUACUCCGAGGCAAAUUAACCUUGGAGGAAGCAACGAGCACUAUUCUCGUGAGGCUAAAUACAUUUGAUGACCGAUAGUGAACCAGUACCGUGAGGGAAAGGUGAAAAGCAGCCCGGUGAGGGCGGUGAAAUAGUACCUGAAACCAUAUGCCUACAAGGACUCGAAGCCUAAAACGUUCGUCGCAAGACGGAUGAAUGGGUAACGUGGUGCCUAUUGAAGAAUGAGCCAACGACUUUACAUAAGCGGCGAGAGUAAGUGCGAUAAGCACGGACUCAUAGGGAAACCAAGUGUUAACAGCGCGUGAGUCGCUUACGUAAGACCCGAAGCCAAGCGAGCUUGUCCUGAGCAGGUUGAAGUGAGGGUAACACCUCAUGGAGGACCGAACUAGUGGGUUGUGCAAAACCCUUGGAUGACUUGGGAUAAGUAGUGAAAAGCUAAUCGAGCUUGGUAAUAGCUGGUUCUCUCCGAAACAGUUUUCGGACUGGCGCUUAGACUACUCCGAUUCGUUGGAGUAGAGGUUUGAUGGAGGUAGAGCACUGGAUGGUCUGUACAGAUCGCAAGAUCGGCAGACCAAUCAAACUCCGAAUGCCAUCACUCAAAAAAUAAGUAGUUAGACUGUGGGGGCGAAGCUCCAUGGUCGCGAGGGAAAAAGCCCAGAUCGUCGUCUAAGGUCCCAAAAUUCUUACUAAGUGUAAAAGGUAGUAGUAAACCAUUGACAGAUAGGAGGUUGGCUUAGAGGCAGCCAUCCUUUAAAGAGUGCGUAACAGCUCACUAUUCGAUGGUUUAUUGCGCCAAAAAUGUACCGGGGCUAAGUAAGAUACCGAAGACACGGAUGACCUGACGGAUGUCAGGUCGUGGUAGGAGAGCGUUCCAAACUGCGUUGAAGGCGGACCCGCGAGGGCUGCUGGAGUGUUUGGAAGAGAGAAUGUUGGUAUGAGUAACCCCAAAUUGGGUGAGAAACCCAAUCCCCGAAAAUCCCAGGUUUCCGUGGCAAUGGCAAUCAUCCACGGGUUAGGCGAUCCUAAGGCAAUGGCGAAAGCCGCAGCUGAUGGGUAGCCGGUUAAUAUUCCGGCCCUUCCACUAGAUUUCGACGGAGUGACGGAGGAAAAAGACUUGCGCGCCUUAAUGGUUUGGCGUCGCUUGCGUUCAGACUUGGCUUCCAGGCAAAUCCGGAAGUCUGCAUUUAAUUGCGAAUUUCGCGCGCCGGCGUAAGGCAUUGUUUUUACAAUGCUAAUGCAAGAGAAGAGCCUUCCAAGAAAAACUUCUAGGUGUGUCUAGGGAAAUCGUACCGUAAACCGACACUGGUGGGUGAGGCGAGAAGCCUCAGGGGAACGAGUGAGUCAUCGUUAAGGAACUCGGCAAAAAAGCGGCCGUAAGUUAGCGAUAAGGCCUGCCCUUCGCAAGAAGGGCCGCAGCGAAAGUAUCUCUGGCAACUGUUUAACAAAAACACAGCUCCCUGCUAACUCGCAAGAGGAUGUAUAGGGGGUGACGCCUGACCGAUGCGAGAAGGUUAACGGUGGGGGUGGUAGGCCGCAAGGUUUAUUGCUCACUGCCCUAAGACCUCGUCAAUGUCAGUGGUAACUAUAACCGUGCUAAGGUAACGCAGUUCCAUUCUAAGUAAGUUCUGAAGCGCACUAAAGGCGUAAUGAUAGGAGAACUG
rnacentral:rRNA from 1 species